ensembl:lncRNA
GGAAUAGGCGCCUUUUGGAAGGCUCUGCUGAGUGACUCAGCAGCUCAGCUCCAGUUACGUGACCCAGAAUCCACUUGGCACAAAACCCUCCUGUUCUCACUGCUGGGCCACAGCUCUGCUGGCUGCAGAACAGUUCGUGCUAGCCCUCACUCACCCCGUUCCUUACUCCACAACUGCGCUUUGCCUUCAGUUUUGCAGGCACCAAAGUGGUUCUUUGCUUGGCCUGGGUUCUUCCCUUCCAGCUCUUCCAGUGUGGUUUCUGGAUGAAAAAGAGAAAAAAAAAAAAAAGAUGGUGCCUUCCUACAUUCCCCCUCAUAGAUACCAUCUGGAUUGCAGACAACUCACCCAAAUAGAAUAUGAAGCUUGGCAGGAAAAAAAAGCCCCUUGUGUGUCUUUCCAAAUUGAUAUUUCAAUAUCUCUGUUUUGCACCAACUGAAACAAGCCCAAAUUCUCUGGGAGAGAGUGUGUGCUAACAUGGCCUCUAUUUUAUUAAGAACAAACAAACAACAACAACAACGAAAAAGCAUGGCAGUCAUUUAGCUGUAAUGGCCAAGAUAUAAAAUGUCAGUUUUAUUUAUGGCAAGUAGCUGGGUAGAAAAUAUGUCCUGGCAUCGCUUGAGAUUUCAAGAACUUUGUUUUCCUUUUUCUCUCGCUGCAUGAAAUAAUGCUGUAUUCUUAACAAACAAACAAAGAAAAACAAAGAAGACGACAGCCCUCUCCAGCAAGAAAGACCAUGCUCUUCUCUCCACAGAACCAGAGUGAGUGGACCUGUGAGAGACAGAGGGACGUGAAAGUCAAAUCAGGUGCAACAGGAACUCAAACCCAUGCUUUCUGCCUCCAUGUUCACAUGAUAAUCACUGGGGAAUCAGCACGCUGGAGUUACAGUUUUGUGCUCUGUUUCUGACCAAAAGUUCCAUGCUGAAACAACGAGACUUCACACUGAGACCAAUGAACAACAACGUCAGGCUUUGCGCUACCGGUAUCAGAGCCUAACACGGCUGUGGCUGCUGACUUGUGCUUGGAUGAGCCUACACAAAUGCCAUUAAGUCAUUAAAACGCCGCUUGAACCAGCUUCCUGCACAGCUCUAAUUAAACUUAACCAAUCUAAUC